GACGUAGGGCGCGAGCGUUGUCCGGAUUUAUUGGGCGUAAAGAGCUCGUAGGCGGCUUGUUGCGUCGACCGUGAAAACCCGCGGCUCAACUGCGGGCUUGCGGUGGGUACGGGCAGACUAGAGGUGAGUGUAGGGGAGACUGGAAGUUCCUGGUGUAGCGGUGAAAUGCGCAGAUAUCAGGAGGAACACCGAUGGCGAAGGCAGGUCUCUGGGCAUUAACUGACGC
rnacentral:rRNA from 1 species